UCCCGGCCGCUCGGACGCAAAGGGCGGCUUUGGGGCACUGCGGCGAAGGAGCUCCUAGCCCAUAAGCGUCACGGGACGAACGGGUUGCGGCGAGGACGGACGCCCCCCAGCGGAUUUUGGCGCAUCACAACCCUGCAGGCUGGCACCGACACUGCAGCGUCAUGAUGGGAACGUGAGCAUCUGACUCCAUCCAACAAGCCCUUGAUAGCAAUGCGCCUUGCAUCCCGGUCCCCCCAAAAAGGAGGCGACGAGGUGGUGGUGGUGGGCGGCGUUGGUUAGCGGCUUGCGCCUACAAAUCCACGCAUUCACCGCAAAGUGGCGGCGUCCCAGCGACCCCUCACGUAAAC